rnacentral:rRNA from 1 species
ACAAAAUGACUCUCGGCAACGGAUAUCUCGGCUCUUGCAUCGAUGAAGAACGUAGCGAAAUGCGAUACUUGGUGUGAAUUGCAGAAUCCCGUGAACCAUCGAGUCUUUGAACGCAAGUUGCGCCUGAAGCCACUAGGCUGAGGGCACGCCUGCCUGGGUGUCACAC